rnacentral:lncRNA from 10 species
ACCCGCUGAGCGUCGACACAGUCGCUGUUGGCCUGGUGUCCAGCGUGGUUGUCUAUCCCGUCUACCUGGCCAUCCUCUUUCUCUUCCGGAUGUCCCGGAGCAAGGUGGCUGGGAGCCCGAGCCCCACACCUGCCGGGCAGCAGGUGCUGGACGUCGACAGCUGCCUGGACUCAUCCGUGCUGGACAGCUCCUUCCUCACGUUCUCAGGCCUCCACGCUGAGGUGAGGGCUCUACUGGGGGUCCUGCCGCCUUGGCGCAGCUUGGACUCAAGACCCUGUGCACCUCUCAGCAGGCCUUUGCUGGACAGAUGAAGAGUGACUUGUUUCUGGAUGAUUCUAAGAGGUUGAUGGACGGAUGGCUACAUGGAUGUGAUGGAGAUGGUUUACUAUCGGGACCUUCCGCAUCCUGCUGAUGUUUUGUUGCUUAGGAUAUGAAUGGCUGAGCGGAGGCUGUAAAACCUGGCACUCUGCUUGGGUAUGAGGUUCUUCCUGCCAUCCUGCCAUCAUUUGUUUUUUAUGUUUUGUCGCCAAAAGUGACCUUGAGGAACCCUGGGAGCUCAGGAAGGAAGGAGCACCCAGAAGCAGGGACAGGGAGCUGGUUGGGGAGGACCAGAAAUCAGGUUAUCAAUACUCUGGCUGACCAUCGUCAUCGUGGGACUGACUUUGGUGGAAGUCCUUGGUUACUUAUCAUUACUGUGUUUCUGAGAAGUUAUAAAUUUGCCAUCUCCCUCUGCACAAGUUACCUUUGUGUGUCUUUCCUGAAGACUAUCUUCCCGUCUCAAAAUGGACAUGAUGGAUCCACGGAUGUACAGCAGAGAGCCAGGAGGUCCAACUGCCGUAGACAGGAAGGAAUUAAAAUUGUCCUGGAAGACAUCUUUACUUUAUGGAGACAGGUGGAAACCAAAGUUCGAGCUAAAAUCCGUAAGAUGAAGGUGACAACAAAAGUCAACC